AGAUAGCAUGACUACGUUGGGCCAACGUUGGUAAUUGGUUGUACCGUUGGUCGAUGGUUGGCGUUGGGCACACAUUGUUGGCCCAACGUUGGGCCAACAUUAUUACACAUCUUUCAUAGCACAUUGAUUGCUUUGUUGGCAUGACAACGUCGGGCCAACGUUGGGCCAACAUAAGUAAAACAUGUGAUCUCUAUUUGUUGGUAAUGCACAGUUGGCCCAACGUUGGGCCAACAUCUUACAAUGCCAUGAAUUUCGACUAAGUGUUUGUUGGUGUAACAAUGUUGAGCCAACGUUGGGCCAACAUAAAUAAAACAUAUGAUCUAUAUUUGUUGGUAAUGCGCAGUUGGCCCAACGUUGGGCCAACAUAAUAACAUGCCAUGAAUUUCGACUUAGUGUUUGUUGGUGUAACAAUGUUGAACCAACGUUGGGCCAACAAAAGUAAAACAUAUGAUCUAUAUUUGUUGGUGAUGCGCAGUUGGCCGAACGUUGGGCCAACAUCUUAACAUGCCAUGAAUUCUAACUAAGUGUUUGUUGGCGUAACAUUGUUGGGCCAUGGGUGGGCCAACGUAGGUAAAACAUGUAAUCUCAUUUAAUUGUUGGAAAUGGGCAGUUGGGCCAACUUUGGGUCAUUAUUUUUACAUGCUACGAAUUAUGACAGAGUUAAAAGAAACAAACAGAUAACAUAAAUACAACCACAAAAAUUUAAGGUAUAGGUGAGUAAAUAAUGUGAUUUGCUCUGUUAAUUUUGAUUGCAAUUAUAAGGAAUUUAUAGUGUCUUAAUUAUGUUUUAACACAUGAACAUGUUAAUUAAAAAGUUUGUAUGUAUAACUAGUUGAGUUUAAUCUAUUUUUCUUACUUUGGAAUACAUAACAUCAUCAUGAUAAAUUGUAUGCAUAUCGAUCUCAGUAAUUUGGGUUGAAAAAUAGUUAAUAUAUGUUAUUAAUAUAAAAAGUUUUAAACUGUCAAACGUUGGCCCAACGUUGGUUCGUUGUUAGAUUUUAAACCCGACAAUGAAUUUUUUAUUUUUUGAGAAAUUUAGUGGAGCAUUGUAAAUUGUAUUGGGCUUAAUUAUUUAAAACUGUUGAGUCAUAGAUGUUGGCCAUUGUUGCUCUGUUGAGGGAUGUUUAUUGUUUAUAUAAAUCUGAUGAGCUGUAUGUACACGUGUAGCUGGAGCGCCUAUUGCAUAACGAAUCUUAAAGUGUCGAAAUUAAGAGGCAGACGGAGCUCCUUUACUGCCCAAGUAUCUAGGUCAGUGCUACUCACAGCAUGGGACUGGCCAGUUUCCUUGGAGAUCGGUCAUCUGAUAUAACCAGGAUGGUCAAAACUGCCACGUUUUAUUUUGAAUAUAUUGCAACCGUUGUGCGUGUACACCUAUAGUAAAUAGUGUUUUUUCUACUCUACGAAUUAUACAUAAGAAGAUUGGGGAUAUAUAUGCUACAAAAACCGCAGUAAGAAAAAAACCAGACUGUGUGCCUCUGCAACAGAUGUAGAGAUAGGGAAGGACGGGUUCCGUUUUUCAAAGACCGUGAAGGUGAAGGGAAAAAAGGGAAGAAAGAAAAAAAAGCAAGGAGGUAACCCAAGCCACUGAACAUGCUGAAGCCAGUGACCCGGACAGUGAUCAGACCCUACAGUUCGAUUGUUACUAAGGAAUUUACAUAGACAAAGAAAUAUGCUAGCGAUUCUUUUUAAUUCUAAAAAGUGUUUAAAUGUAUUGUAAAUUUUUACUAAGAAAAAAUAAAAUCUGUAUACUAUG